UACGAAGGGUGCAAGCGUUUAAUCGGAAUUACUGGGCGUAAAGGGUGCGUAGGCGGUUGUUUAAGUCUGUCGUGAAAUCCCCCGGGCUCAACCUGGGAAUGGCGAUGGAUACUGGGCACUAGAGUGUGUCAGAGGAUGGUGGAAUUCCCCGGUGUAGCGGUGAAAUGCGUAGAGAUCGGGAGGAACAUCAGUGGCGAAGGCGGC
rnacentral:rRNA from 1 species